UCACCCAUUUAUCUCGCUGCCUCUCACCCUCUCUACUCCUUCACUUUACUUCUGUUCCAACACUACAAAACAAAUAACUCUCACCUGAGCUGAUGUGCCUCUCACUGACUGUCAUUUUCACUUCGCGUCAAGUUAAUGGGAACAGCUUUGGCCAUUGGACCCAAGGAGAUUAUUUGUCUUGGCAACUUCUGAUCUGACUCAAAACUCAAAUAAACUCUGGAGAACAACUUAAAGGCUUUGGGUAACUGUCAUCGUCCACCUUCUAUUCCUGGUCCGCCCAUCAUGGGAGCACACCAGGCUGAACACACCUGUAUGCUAAUGGGGAGGGAUUGCAUCACUGGCUGGUGUGGGCACCCAAGGAGCAUCUGGCUUCCACCCCCUCCAUGCAUCAGAGUGAAGGGAGGCCCAAACAGCCACUGUGAACUGUUUAUCAUCUUUAUUACUUUAUUACUUUUCUGAGAGUUUUCCCUAACCUGAUUUUAUUACAUUGUCAUCAGAUGAUGAGUUCUCUCAUCUGCUCUCCCUGCUCUUUCUUCUUUGCUUUGCCACAAAUUUAUCGACCACGGUAACUGAUGCAUGACAGCAGCGGUAGUUGCAGACAGGAGUUUGGAUUUGGUAUCGUCACCUCACCACACAGUUACAGCCACUUUGUGUUAACUCACCAUCAUCACGGGCCUGCCUUCUGGUCUGCUUUCUUCUUAGCAACAGGCCCAUAGAGGAGUGACAUCUCUGUUGCUGAAAAACAAAAUGUAAAUUCAAGUUUUAAAAGCGUGUUUGUGCAGUUG